rnacentral:rRNA from 2 species
CGUUAACGAACGAGACCCCCGCCUGCUAAAUAGCGUGGCUUACGCAUUCGCGUAGGUGGGCGCUUCUUAGAGGGACUUUCGGUGACUAACCGAAGGAAGUUGGGGGC